ACAUGAAAAAUUACUCUAAUUAUGGCUGCAUUUAAGAGAAUGGAAAAAAACCUUCUUGUGGAUAAAAACCUUAAAUUGUCCCCAAUGUCUGCUUCAAAUUGGAUGGCACUGCAGCUGGAGGCUUUGUUCAGAAUUGAUCCUGGGGAGCUACGAACCCAAAGUUUCACAGUAGGAAGGGGGAAAAAGAAAAGAAAACAUUUUUCCUAAUGUAACAAUGCGAAUGCUAGAAAAUGACAAGACUGAUCGGUUUUAAACCAUUCUGAAGACUGACUGAGCGUGGAAGUUGCUCAACAAAAAAAGGAACGGGUAUAUUGUUGCUGAGAUAGAUGGGAAACCCACUCCUUCGGAAGAGCAUGGCCUUUUCCUGUAUUGUUUCCCCACUGCUGCUGAGCUUCUUGAACACUGGUCCCUGAAUACAAUCAUCAAGAAGACUUUGUAGAUGGGCUGCCCAGUCUUCUGGAGAAGAGAAACAUGAGCUGCAGUUUCUCAGUCAACUGGCUCUUCAUUCACGUAAUGAGUGUCAUCAGCAUCAACAAAAAAGAUCCACCAGCUGGACAACUGCUUGGAGGACUAACGUCUAGGGGGACUGAAAUGUCAGUGGUGUUCUAACUUAUCCAUGGAAAUGCAAGAGGUGGAAAAUGUAUUUCACAGCCCUUCUCUCAGGGAGUAUUCUAUGUGAUACUGGAAGGAAUGGGUUGACAAAUUAAUUCUUUAGGGAUAGAAAAUAGUACUAAUCAGAAUGUAGAGGAGUAGGAGGCUGUUUUACUUUAGGGUUCCUGUUUUUCCUACUAAGAUAUAUAAAUCGGGCACUCCAGCUAGCUCAUCUGGACCAGCGGACAGGUUAAGUACUCGGGUGGGCCUCAUGCUUGGCUCUUUUCCUCUAGUAAAGAGCAGACAAUAAGGAAGCACCAAUUCAUUAGUCUGUGCACUCUAGAGCUUGAAAAUGAAUACACCAGGUUAGCCUGUCUUGGCAUUCUAGGAUGUGAGCUCUGAGGGUGUCUUUGUUUACUUGAGGGUAUGGGUCAUUGCUAACAGAGUACUUCAAGUGAAAUGAAAUUUGAACUUUGUCUAUAGGUCAGGUGGUCAGAUCCUGUACUGAAUUAAUUAGGUCAAUGGAGACACCAGGUAGAGCAGGAAACUUCAAACAUACUUGGCCGAACAAUGAUAUUGCUGGUUAUUUAUAGAAGAAGGCAACAUGGAACAAGCUUAGAAUCAUGACAUGUGGGACUGGUGGUCACUUUUAAUAACUCUAUGAAUGUGAGCUUCUCAUGAAAGCUAUGCAAAGUCCUUUGGAGUCCUGUGAAGUGCUUGGAGUUGGGAGGGAUUCUGCAGGAGGAAAUGUGAAGUGAUUUGGGUCGGGAAAUAGGCAGUGCUGGGAUUCAGAACCAACUAUUGCUUCUGCUCUGGGUAGGAAGCUGCAGUGUGAAAAGUGCUGGCUGGAACCCUUGGGACCUGGAGUUGAGUCUUUAUCCUGAUACUAACAAGCUGUGUGACUCAGCGAGACACUCCACAUGCCCCUUUGAUGCCUCUUGAGUGACUCCAUAUCCCUUUUGGCUUUAAAAAGGUUAACAUCAGGCUCCAGACAACAGCAGGCCAGUUUCAAAUGCUCUUAUUCUAAGCUGUGAAGUCAGAUAGACCUUCAAGAGUUACUUGAAUUUUAAUUUUUUUGAAGGAUUAUUUGUUUCUGUCAAUCUUUUAGGAUAUAAUGAAUCUGCUUUUUACCUUUUGAGUUAGAAGGUGCUAACUCUGUACCCCAUAGACUCACAGAGGUUUUAUUCCCUCUCUCAUUACUUCUUUUCUUCCUGUCUUUUGCUUCCUCCCAUUUCUACUGACCAUAUACUAUGUGCCAUGAAUCAGGUACGUGCUAGGUUUGAGGACCCAAGGUAAGCCUGACACUUUCUUGCUUUUCCUUUGGAGAGAAUCAACUAUGCUCCAGGGCAGUGUGCUGGUGGGACUUCCAGGGUGACCUUCUACAGUCAGGUGCCCAGUUCUUCUCAAGCAAUUUGUACUGCCCUAAGAUACACAGCAAAUAAUCAUUCAGGCCCAGGGUCACCAUGAAAAGAGCUCUUUCCAGAUAUAAAGAAGUAAUAAAUUUUCACUUCUUGGGAUAGACCUGAAGAGGAAAAGUUCUCAAUACAGUGAAGGUCACUGAUUAUUCCACCCCCUGACACUCAUCCAUGCCCAAGUAGGAAGAUCCUAGACUUAAAAAACAAAAAAAUAAUUAUCAGUAGACAGACAUCUUUCAUGUACAAUAUUCUUUAUACACCACUUGUGGCUAGUAACCUUCCUAUAAAAGGAAAGGAAAAACACUAAUCCCACACAAAGGUGUUGCCAUGGCCUCCUACUUCAUUGAACAACUUCUCAUUUUUGUUUCUUUCAUCUUUGGCAAAUCUAUUUAAUACAUAUAUCUGAGUACAGAAAAUAUUUUAUAGAAAAUAACUAAUGUAAUUUCAAAUUUAGAAUCCUGACAAACUAUUUGCUUUGAGAAUUUUAUCCUGAGAAAUAAUUUCAGGUUAUUUCAAUUUAUGGCUUAAAUUGUGGAAUUAAUUACUCUUGGCUUUCAGUAUUAGUUUGUGGUUGAAUUCAAGGAACACAGACAGCUACAAGUAAUGUCUGUACCUCUCCAUGACUAAAAACUUUAGUUUUCUCUGUUGCCCUUAUUUAUAUGGAUGUACCUUACUCCUAAAUGGAUUGAUUUGUGUUGAGUUUCCUCGCCUCCUUAUUUUCCCUCUGGUAAAUGUAUUCAAAAUAGUAGAAUGGGUGUGUGUGGGGGGGGGGUCCUUAAAGAGAAACAAAGGGCCUAGGUAACUCACAUAAAUGGAAAAAUUGACUCUGAAAUAAUCCACAAAAUAUUCACAUAUUUUAGUACAGUAUUCCUUCCAUUAAGCAGAAACAGAAUCAGUAAAUCUAUACAACUCUAAACAUUCUUACAAAAAGGGCCACAUUCUAUCCAACAUCUUACAUUUCUAGAUACCUAGAUAUUGGCCAUUGUGCAGGCAAAACAUACAUAAUAGACUUGUUUUUCCACUGCUCAUUUGUAUGAUCCAGAAUCUUGUAGCUCUAGUCAUUGACUCUAAGGCAAUUUAUAUUUGUUUUCUCUGUUACUCUUGAGAGAAAACAAAAAUCUUAUUUCUCCAAGAAAUUAGAGCUCUUAUGCUUCAGCUAGGAGGGAAGAAUUAGGAGUUCUGUCUCCUUGUAUAUAAUUGCAUGUUUCACCUUUCUUGUUUUAGUGAUUGACAGAAAACUGAUCAACUGAGACAUCUCUGAAUUAGGGUUGGCUGUAGUCUCUUGGUGGCCCUAUUGCUAAUUUGUUUCACUAUUUUGCAGAAUUUCUUACUCUGUAAUGGAAAGGUUUAUUAAAUAUGAGGGGUGCAAAGCUUUCUGAAUACUAAUGAACUUAUUUGCCAAAAUUUAAAUGUUCUUCUUGUCAGUGAAUGCCUGUCUUACUUAACAGGAUCCAAAUUGAAUAAUGAAGAAAAUUAGACUCUAUCAUACCCUCAAGAGAAAUUGUGUGUGAAUUGUAAUAGAAUGCUGAGAGGGAAAGGGGUCAUAUUUUAGAAAAAAAGAGUAGAUAAUUUGGAUUACUUAAAAAAAGGAUAAACUCAGGGCAACUCAAUUCUUUUCCAAGAAACAUAUAGUCAUUCAAGCAGCAAGACUUCCCACCACCAUCUAUUCCUUUGGCAGCUUAGAAAAAAGGUUAUAGUUAUCUGGAAAUAGGUGCUAGGUUUCUGUGGUUACAGUUUACUAGCCUUAUUCCCAUAUAAGGCAUUUAUAUGACUGUGAUGGAAAGGAAAAAUCAAUAACCUUGAAAAAUAAGCACUGUUCUCCAGAGAAGUUCAACAGGGAGACGGUUAGAGUUUGAGAAACUGCUGCAGUUCUUCCUUUAAGUAUAGUGCAGUGUGGCUGUUCCUGGUCAGUGUGCUUCUUUCUUUUCAGUGCCUGGGUGUUGCCACUUAACAAAGUAGAUUAUCAUGAUGCCUAUCCUUUGCCAGCACCUAGGAGUGCUGUAGGGACAAGACAGCUCUCCUCUGGGCCUGCAGAUGGGCUGGAAGAACCCAGGCAGCCAUUCCAACUGCCAGACAUGAUCAGAGUCAGAAACAGUAUCUGCAGGGAGCAAAAUAAAGCGGCAGGAGAGAUAGAGGGAGAAAGUAAAGGUGACACCACAAAUGUAGGAACUUUUCCCUGUAAUAAACUUGAAACAGGCACACACGCACUGUGAGAGGAUGAGGGGAGGGAUUCUAAAGCAGAGAAAAUAAUGGGAAAAAUGAUCAUCUCCAGUGUUGGUUAAAACUAAUUCUCCUGACUUUUCAGGAGGAGAAAAUAAGUUAAGGAGAAAGGGGAAAGGGCUUCAAAGCCUGUGAAGUUUGCAAAACAAAACACAAACAUUUAAAAGCUAAGAUUAUACUCUUCUAUGAAAAGAGUCUGAGCAGGAACAGGAAGUUUGGUGACAAGAAGAUUUGUAGUUAAGGGUUUAUUUUCAAUCCCCAUGCGAAAAGGUUUAUAAACUUAGAAUCAUAAGACAUGUUAAAAUGUGUCUUUUGGAGAUGAUACCAGGCUUCAUACCUAAAGGAGACAAAGAAUGAUCAACACAUCUCAGGUUAACACCAAUCAAUUAUUUGUUCAAUCUUUCAUUUAAAAUUGAAUUUUCUUUAUACCUGAUUAAAUAAAAAAGAAACCCAGUGUAUUUGAUUGCUUCUGUGGGAUGACUUGAGAAUUAUAAACCCAGAUUUCCCCCUUGGAAUGAUAAUUAUUGAUUUUGAAAAUUCAGUAAAUAAAUAGAAGGAGAUUUAGAUUCAUCUCCACCAUUUCAAAUCAUGACCUGAACCUUUGGAAACAAAGAACUUGCAAAGUGGGAAGACAAGGGAAAAAAAAGAUGGAAGAGGGGGAAAUGUUACAAAUUGAGUAAGACUCCACAAUUUGUGAGAAAAUCAAAUGAACAACAGGGUUUGGAGGAUAAGUGUAUAAUAAGGAAUGUGAGAUAAUAAGAUAUUUUAAAAGAGGAAAUUACUUGAGAAAGUGAGGAUGAAUGAUGAAUUACAUAGGAGAUGAUUAAGGGAUUUGGGAAGGCAGAAAAGGGAGGAGGUAAUUGGGGUGGGAAACAAAAUGUGACUAGCGGCUGUAAAAGGGCAAAUUUGAACUCUGGAUGGCAUAUCCCCCAACCUUUGGAGAAUGUGCACAAUUUAGGAAUAAAGGAGGAAAGAUGAAAAGAAUUUGUGGUUAACAUGAAAUCAUAAGGACAAUAGAAGAAGCAAUAAGUGUCAUUAGUCUUCAGGAAAGAAAGCAUUUCUAGAGAAAUGUAUUAGUCUAUGUUCUUCAUUCAUUUAUGAGUAGAAUAGUCUUCAUCUACCUUUACAAAAGGUUGAUUUAUAAAAUGAAUGCUAUUAAA